UGGCUCAGAUUGAACGCUGGCGGCAGGCCUAACACAUGCAAGUCGAGCGGAUGAAGGGAGCUUGCUCCUGGAUUCAGCGGCGGACGGGUGAGUAAUGCCUAGGAAUCUGCCUGGUAGUGGGGGAUAACGUCCGGAAACGGGCGCUAAUACCGCAUACGUCCUGAGGGAGAAAGUGGGGGAUCUUCGGACCUCACGCUAUCAGAUGAGCCUAGGUCGGAUUAGCUAGUUGGUGGGGUAAAGGCCUACCAAGGCGACGAUCCGUAACUGGUCUGAGAGGAUGAUCAGUCACACUGGAACUGAGACACGGUCCAGACUCCUACGGGAGGCAGCAGUGGGGAAUAUUGGACAAUGGGCGAAAGCCUGAUCCAGCCAUGCCGCGUGUGUGAAGAAGGUCUUCGGAUUGUAAAGCACUUUAAGUUGGGAGGAAGGGCAGUAAGUUAAUACCUUGCUGUUUUGACGUUACCAACAGAAUAAGCACCGGCUAACUUCGUGCCAGCAGCCGCGGUAAUACGAAGGGUGCAAGCGUUAAUCGGAAUUACUGGGCGUAAAGCGCGCGUAGGUGGUUCAGCAAGUUGGAUGUGAAAUCCCCGGGCUCAACCUGGGAACUGCAUCCAAAACUACUGAGCUAGAGUACGGUAGAGGGUGGUGGAAUUUCCUGUGUAGCGGUGAAAUGCGUAGAUAUAGGAAGGAACACCAGUGGCGAAGGCGACCACCUGGACUGAUACUGACACUGAGGUGCGAAAGCGUGGGGAGCAAACAGGAUUAGAUACCCUGGUAGUCCACGCCGUAAACGAUGUCGACUAGCCGUUGGGAUCCUUGAGAUCUUAGUGGCGCAGCUAACGCGAUAAGUCGACCGCCUGGGGAGUACGGCCGCAAGGUUAAAACUCAAAUGAAUUGACGGGGGCCCGCACAAGCGGUGGAGCAUGUGGUUUAAU
rnacentral:rRNA from 1 species